CUUGCUUCAUGAGAAGACGUGGUGAUGGCGGACGAGCUAUAGGAGCACAGGCGGUAACACUUUCCCUUGUGAUUUCUUAGCUACCGAGUGGCUUGUGAUAGACGUAAGUUUAGGGCAGUGACUGAACCAUCGUUGAUUAAUGAAGGAGCUGCCACCUGUCCACCUGCACCAAUGGCUGCAUCAUCCUGGGACAAGAUUGCAUUGUGAAAUCAACAACUAUUGACACUAAUGGUAACACCUGGGAACUUAUGCAAGUGAUAACCUGGAGGAGGAGGAGGAGGAAGCUGCUGCACACAGUCUGAGAAAGAAGAGUUGCCACGACGAGUUCCUGCGAUGGAAGUGGACGUCGACAUGCGGGACUCCAUCUCUCCGGGCAAGCGUGGGCAGCCUGACACACCCCUGAUGACAGCCCGGAAAGGUCCCGCUGCUGCACUGCCCAAGAUCAUCCCCAAGCCCCGGACGAGUACGUUAAGGCCUCGUUCCUGCUCCGAGGUGAGUGGCCUGUUACCUGUCGUAGAGCAGACCAGGACAGCAGUACCGACCACUACGUCAAGGUGGGGCCCCUGGCGGAUGACACCACCCUUGAGGUACAAUCCUAACUACUCUCUUCCUGUAAUGGCCUUCUCCUUUAUGUUGUGGAACGCCCGAUCCCUUCUCCGCAAAACACAG
rnacentral:misc_RNA from 1 species